CCGCUAUUGGAAUUCGAUUAAGACAUGCGAGUCGAGAGUCUUAGGGACUCGGCGGACGGCUCAGUAACACGCGGAUAAUCUGCCCCUAGGUGGAGAAUAACCUCGGGAAACUGAGAAUAAUACUCCAUAUGUCUAGAAUGCUGGAAUGCUUUUAGGCUUAAAGCUCCGGCGCCUAAGGAUGAAUCUGCGGCCUAUCAGGUUGUAGUGGGUGUAACGGACCCACUAGCCUACGACGGGUACGGGCUUUGGGAGAAGUUGCCCGGAGAUGGACUCUGAGACACGAGUCCAGGCCCUACGGGGUGCAGCAGUUGCGAAAACUUCACAAUGUCGGAAACGGCGAUGAGGGGAUUCCAAGUGCCAACACUUUGUGUUGGCUGUUUGUUUGCCUAAAAAGCAGAUAAAGUAAGAGCCGGGUAAGACGGGUGCCAGCCGCCGCGGUAAUACCCGCGGCUCGAGUGGUGGUCAUUUUUAUUGAGCUUAAAGCGUUCGUAGCCUGUCCAGUAAAUCCUUGGGUAAAUCGGGCAGCUUAACUGUUCGAAUUCCGAGGGGACUGCUGGACUUGGGGCCGGAAGAGGUCAAAAGUACUCUUGGGGUAGGGGUAAAAUCCUGUAAUCCCACGAGGACUACCAGUGGCGAAGGCGUUUGACUAGGACGGAUUCGACGGUAAGGAACGAAACCCCGGGUCGCUAACGGGAUUAGAUACCCCGGUAGUCCGGGGCGUAAACGCUGCAGGCUUGGUGUUGGGGGCUCUACGAGAGCGCCCAGUGCCGAAGAGAAAUUGUUAAGCCUGCCGCUUGGGGAGUACGGUCGCAAGACUGAAACUUAAAGGAAUUGGCGGGAGAGCACAGCAACGGGAGGAGCGUGCGGUUCAAUUGGAUUCAACGCCGGA
rnacentral:rRNA from 1 species